UUCGUUAUUUUUUUUUGCGUUUUUUGUACGUGUCCGUACGUUUUCGUCAAGAUGGCAACAACAACGAUGGUGUAACGAUAACGGCAACGCAAUUUGGUAAUAAAUAUACUGUGCGUUUCUAUUUUUUUUUCCCAUGAUCCUUAAAAUUAACAUAUAACUAAAACGAAAUGAAAA
rnacentral:ribozyme from 12 species